AUACGGAGGACGCGAGCGUUAUCCGGAUUCAUUGGGUUUAAAGGGUGCGCAGGCGGCCGUGCAAGUCAGCGGUGAAAGCCCGGGGCUCAACCCCGGAAGUGCCGUUGAUACUGCAUGGCUGGAAUGCGGUCGAGGCGGGCGGAACGUGGCGUGUAGCGGUGAAAUGCGUAGAUAUGCCACAGAAAGCCGAUAGCGGAGGCGGCUCGCCAGGCCUGCAUUGACGAUCGGGCACGAAAGCGGGGGGAUCGAACAGGAUUAGAUACCCGGGUAGUCCACGCCGUAAACGAUGGGCGCUCGUCGUCGGCGGCAGACAGUCGGCGGCCAAGCGAAAGCGAUAAGCGCCCCACCUGGGGAGUACGGUCGCAAGGCUGAAACUCAAAUGAAUUGGCGGGG
rnacentral:rRNA from 1 species